AUGCUUCGAUCCUCUUCAAUCUUCUUGAAGCUUAAGCACAAUCUCCAUCAUAUACCGAUUCAUCGUCUCCAUCAUACAGGGUCUUCGAUCUUCAUCCUUCUCUGCAACCUCACUCAUCAUAAUCUGAGAAUCUUGGUGGAAACUGCAGGAUUUCGGCAUCAUAUCAUCAACCUUCAUCUACUUCAUACAUCUCUAAACAUCUUCAAAUUCUCCACAAUUCUCUGCAUAAUCUUCAAUCAUCAACACCAUUUUCUACAGAAGCGCAACUGCAUCAACACUGUUCCAUAA